rnacentral:rRNA from 1 species
UACGUAGGGCGCGAGCGUUGUCCGGAAUUAUUGGGCGUAAAGAGCUCGUAGGCGGCCUGUUGCGUCUGCUGUGAAAUCCCGGGGCUUAACCCCGGGCGUGCAGUGGAUACGGGCAGACUAGAGUGCGGUAGGGGAGACUGGAAUUCCUGGUGUAGCGGUGAAAUGCGCAGAUAUCAGGAGGAACACCGGUGGCGAAGGCGGGUCUCUGGGCCGUAACUGACGCUGAGGAGCGAAAGCGUGGGGAGCGAACAGG